rnacentral:rRNA from 1 species
AUUGAACGCUGGCGGAAUGCUUUACACAUGCAAGUCGAACGGCAGCACGGGUGCUUGCACCUGGUGGCGAGUGGCGAACGGGUGAGUAAUGCACCGGAACGUAUCCAAUAAUGGGGGAUAACGCACCGAAAGGUGUGCUAAUACCGCAUACGCCCUGAGGGGGGAAAGCGGGGGAUCGUAAGACCUCGCGUUAAUGGAGCGGCCGAUGCCGGAUUAGCUAGUUGGUGAGGUAAAGGCUCACCAAGGCGACGAUCCGUAGCUGGUCUGAGAGGACGACCAGCCACACUGGAACUGAGACACGGUCCAGACUCCUACGGGAGCAGCAGUGGGGAAUUUUGGGACAAUGGGCGCAAGCCUGAUCCAGCCAUUCCGCGUGAGUGAAGAAGGCCUGGUU